AACGAACGCUGGCGGCAGGCCUAACACAUGCAAGUCGAACGCCGUAGCAAUACGGAGUGGCAGACGGGUGAGUAACGCGUGGGAACAUACCCCUCGGUUCGGAAUAACUUAGGGAAACUUGAGCUAAUACCGGAUACGUCCGAGGUUUUAACCGGCCUCGGAGAAAGAUUUAUCGCCGGAGGAUUGGCCCGCGUCUGAUUAGCUUGUUGGUGAGGUAAUGGCUCACCAAGGCGACGAUCAGAGCUGGUCUGAGAGGAUGAUCAGCCACAUUGGGACUGAGACACGGCCCAAACUCCUACGGGAGGCAGCAGUGGGGGAAUAUUGGACAAUGGGCGAAAGCCUGAUCCAGCCAUGCCGCGUGAGUGAUGAAGGCCUUAGGGUUGUAAAGCUCUUUUACCCGGGAAGAUAAUGACGGUACC
rnacentral:rRNA from 1 species